rnacentral:rRNA from 2 species
UACGUAGGUGGCAAGCGUUGUCCGGAUUUACUGGGCGUAAAGAGCGCGCAGGCGGUCGUUCAAGUCGAGUGUGAAAGCCCCCGGCUCAACUGGGGAGGGUCACUCGAUACUGAUCGACUCGAAGGCAGGAGAGGGAAGCGGAAUUCCCGGUGUAGUGGUGAAAUGCGUAGAUAUCGGGAGGAACACCAGUGGCGAAGGCGGCUUUCUGGCCUGUUCUUGACGCUGAGGCGCGAAAGCUAGGGUAGCAAACGGG